rnacentral:rRNA from 1 species
UUAAAGAGUUCUAUAACUCCCAAACCCAUGUGAACAUACCUAACGUUGCCUCGGCAGGUCGCACCUACCUUGUAGCACCCUACCCUGUAGGGCCUACCCGGGAGGUGCGGGUAAGCCUGCCGGCGGCCCACCAAACUCUGUUUGAUAUUGAAUUCUGAACCUAUAACUAAAUAAGUUAAAACUUUCAACAACGGAUCUCUUGGUUCUGGCAUCGAUGAAGAACGCAGCGAAAUGCGAUAAGUAAUGUGAAUUGCAGAAUUCAGUGAAUCAUCGAAUCUUUGAACGCAUAUUGCGCCCAUUAGUAUUCUAGUGGGCAGGACCGUUCGAGCGUCAUUUCAACCCUUAAGCCUUCGUUGCUUAGUGUUGGGAGCCUACGGCAACGUAGCUCCUCAAAGUUAGUGGCGGAGUUGGUUCACACUCUAGACGUAGUAAUUUUUUAUCUCGCCUAUUAGUUGGACUAAUCCCCUGCCGUAAAACCCCCAAUUUAUCAAGGUUGACCUCGAAUCGGUUCAGACAAACUCGCUAAAUUGAAGCAUCUUAGUCAGCGAAGGAAAAGAAACCAACAGGGAUUGCCCUAGUAACGGCGAG